rnacentral:rRNA from 1 species
CUGAAAUCAAGUGUGAAGACCCGCUGAACUUAAGCAUAU